rnacentral:rRNA from 1 species
UACGAGGGGGGCAAGCGUUGUUCGGAAUUAUUGGGCGUAAAGGGUGCGUAGGCGGUCUGAUAAGUCAUCUGUGAAAUCUAUGGGCUCAACCCAUAGUCUGCAGGCGAAACUGUCGGGCUUGAGUAUGGGAGAGGUGAGUGGAAUUUCCGGUGUAGCGGUGAAAUGCGUAGAUAUCGGGAAGAACACCCGUGGCGAAGGCGGCUCUCUGGGACGGUACUGACGCUGAGACGCGAAAGCGUGGGGAGCGAACAGG